GCACUACCUAUUUCCUAAUCUGAAAUGAUUAUGCUCUGAUUAACUUUGAACUAAUAUUUUAUUUUUACCAUUUAAAAGUCUGUUAAUUACUUAACCUGGCCCAUGUAUGACUUUACAUAUCUGUGUAUUGGUUUCAUGUUCCUCUAGAAGGUCCAACUUGACACACAACUUGAAUCCAACCAGACUGAACACUGACUCCAGGGACAGACGAGCCUGAAGGACACAGCUGUGAUGACCAUGUUCUGUCUCUUAUGGCAAAGCAGAAAUAUAAAACACUGGGUUCUUAUCUAAAGUGUAUCAAAUCAGAUCUCCACCAUGUUGCUGCUGAGGACAUCAGUUGUCUUCCAGUUGACCAGCAUGAAGCUGCAGAUCUCCACCAUGUUGCUGCUGGGGACAUCAGGAGCUGCAUUAAUGAGGAGCAGAAGCGUACUGUUAUGAAUGUUUUGUGUUGUUUAUGAAGCACUACUUAUUUCAGCUAGAACCGAUGUACUAGGGUCUGGGUUUGUAUCCUAAUGGUUAAAUGCACAUACUUUAAAUCGCUUUUGAUAAAACGUGACAAAGAAAUACAACAUUGUACACAUAGAUAAAAUGUCUUUCUACCUCAUCUGUAAUAUUCAAGGUGAUGAUCUCCCACAGAGCUGUUGAUAACAGUCCACAUCAAGUCUCUCCACUUCCCUCAGUGUGAAAACAUAAUUAUAUAAUUAUUUGGAGAAGUGUUUACAACACUGAUGUGUGGACAUUAUAAUGUUAUCACUACUGUCUAAUUCACUCUACAACUCCAUGACAGACUAAAUAAACGAUGUGAAAAUAGUAAUGGCGGAUAUACCAUCCUGUAUCAGAAUAUUGGUGAAACAGUUACUAUCACAUGAAACGUACACGUGUAGCGUAUUGAUAGUAACUCAUUAAAAAAAAUAAUGUCACAA